rnacentral:rRNA from 1 species
GAACGGUAAGUUGAAUAGCAAUAUUUGACCUAGAGUGACGUACGGGUGCGUAACACGUAUGCAACCUACCCUUUACAGGAGGAUAGCUCGGGGAAACUCGAAUUAACCCUCCAUGAGAUCAUAGAGUAGCAUUACUUAGUGAUUAAAACUCAGGUGGUAAAGGAUGGGCAUGCGUCUGAUUAGUUAGUUGGCGGGGUAACGGCCCACCAAGACGAUGAUCAGUAGGGGAACUGAGAGGUUGAUCCCCCACACUGGCACUGAGAUACGGGCCAGACUCCUACGGGAGGCAGCAGUAGGGAAUAUUGGUCAAUGGAUGCAAGUCUGAACCAGCCAUGCCGCGUGCAGGAAGAAGGCCUUCUGGGUUGUAAACUGCUUUUGCCAGGGGAUAAAAUUUCCUUGCGAGGAAAAUUGAAGGUACCUGGUGAAUAAGCCACGGCUAACUACGUGCCAGCAGCCGCGGUAAUACGUAGGUGGCAAGCGUUGUCCGGAUUUAUUGGGUUUAAAGGGUGCGUAGGCGGUUUUGUAAGUCAGUGGUGAAAUAUAGCAGCUUAACUGUUAGGGUGCCAUUGAUACUGCAGAACUUGAGUACAGAUGAGGUAGGCGGAAUUGACGGUGUAGCGGUGAAAUGCUUAGAUAUCGUCAAGAACACCUAUAGCGAAGGCAGCUUACUAGGCUGUAACUGACGCUGAGGCACGAAAGUGUGGGGAUCAAACAGGAUUAGAUACCCUGGUAGU